rnacentral:rRNA from 1 species
AGAGUUUGAUCCUGGCUCAGAGCGAACGCUGGCGGCGUACUUAACACAUGCAAGUCGAACGGGGAUCGUCGGGUUAGCAAUAAUUCGGCGGUCCUAGUGGCGCACGGGUGAGUAACACGUGGGUAACCUGCCCUUGAGUUCGGGAUACCCCCUCGAAAGGGGGGCUAAUACCGGGUACGUUCCUCGGAUCGACAGGUCUGGGGAGGAAAGGUGGCGCAAGCUGCCGCUCUUGGAGGGGCUCGCGGCCUAUCAGCUAGUUGGCGGGGUAACGGCCCACCAAGGCUAUGACGGGUAGCUGGUCUGAGAGGACGACCAGUCACACGGGGACUGAGACACGGCCCCGACUCCUACGGGAGGCAGCAGUGGGGAAUUUUCCGCAAUGGGCGAAAGCCUGACGGAGUGACGCCGCGUGUGGGAC